rnacentral:rRNA from 1 species
UACGUAGGGACCGAGCGUUGUCCGGAUUCAUUGGGCGUAAAGAGCUCGUAGGCGGCCACUCAAGUCGAAUGUGAAACCUCGAGGCUUAACCUCGAGCCUGCAUUCGAUACUGGGCGGCUAGAGUCUGGUAGGGGGAUCUGGAAUUCCUGGUGUAGCGGUGGAAUGCGCAGAUAUCAGGAGGAACACCGGUGGCGAAGGCGGGUCUCUGGGCCGAUACUGACGCUGAGGAGCGAAAGCAUGGGGAGCAAACAGG